rnacentral:lncRNA from 1 species
GGCUAUGUUGCUCCUCUACUUCUUGCCGCUUCUUUUGCUGGAGCAUUGCAGGUAGACAUGAUGCCAUUCAUUUUGAAAUCAGAGCUGAAUCUUGUUGGCUGUUUGUUAAAGGCUAGCAUACAUCCGUUGCUUGUACUACGGAAAAAUCAGUCAUAAGUCAAAAAUAAUUGCAGCCACCUUAUCUUACUCCGACUUUUGCUUCUAAAAUACUUCCUUCAAUUGUUUUUAACUCGAAAAUUCAACUUACUAUAUAUGUACUGGCAGAAUCUGUUGUCGUUCAGGAAAUUCUCAGCAUGGAUCAACCCGGUGAGGUAUGCUCAAAAAUGUUCUUGACCACUAUUUU